rnacentral:rRNA from 1 species
AUUGGUGGAUCUGAAUAACUCACGGUCUCGCACCGGCGACGCAUCUUCCAAGUGUCUGCCUUAUCAACUUUUGAUGGUAGUUUAUGCGACUACCAUGGUUGUAACGGGUAACGGAGAAUAAGGGUUCGACUCCGGAGAGGGAGCCUGAGAAACGGCUACCACAUCCAAGGAAGGCAGCAGGCGCGCAAAUUACCCAAUCUCAGAGAGGAGGUAGUGACGAAAAAUAACGAGACGGUUCUCUUGUUAUCGGAAUGAGUACAAUUCAAACCCUUUAACGAGGAUCUACGAGAGGGCAAGUCUGGUGCCAGCAGCCGCGGUAAUUCCAGCUCUCGAAGUGUAUAUCAUUGUUGUUGCGGUUAAAAAGCUCGUAGUUGGAUCUGCUUUGGAGCCGGUCUUCCCAACGGGACAGUGGCUGGUUUGCCUUGGUGCUCUUAACUGGGUGCCUUGGCUGACUAGCAGGUUUACUUUGAAAAAAUUAGAGUGCUCAAAACAAGCGUUUGCUUGAAUACUGGUGCAUGGAAUAAUGGAAUAGGAGGUUC